UCUGAGACAAUUGAGUGUGGUUCAGACCCAGGAAAAAGUAUCAGUCAAGUGAGAGGGUACAAUAAUGGCAUUUUUAAGUGUGCAUGACUUUAAUAGGUUACUUUACAUGGCCCUUUCCUAGGAAACUGCUGGAGGGUACACUGUAGCAAAACUGGAGAGUAAACCAAGAAAGAGGAAGGCAAAUUAUCCAGGAAAUGGGAUCCCAAAGACAAGAUAAUCAAGCACAUCAAGAUUAUAGCAAGGAGACUUCCCAUACCAACAGCCAGGACUCCAGGCUGAAGCAGGAGGGUGGAAAUCUUUAUGAAAAACAAGAAACUGGUAUGUUUGCGUGCAUGGAAAUGUAUUGAUAAACAGGUGAUGGAUUGGAGAACUGGGGUAAAUAUUUUUUAAAGGUUACAGGAAAAAAGACAAUUGAGAAAAUACGACAAUCAGCUUCAGAAAAACGGAAGGUACACGGAAGAAAAGAGUACAUCAUUUGGAAGAAGUUGGAAGAACCAGUGACAUCGUUUCGUCAAAGCUGCCUCCAUUUCCAUCUCCUUGUUUAUGUGGAUGUUACCAAAAGACGACCACCUUCCUAGGCUGAAACGUGUGGAAAUGGCCCGCGGCAUCUUCAACAUUUCCAGAACGUGGCUUCUUUUGUCCACAUUUACCAAGCACUAGGUGUGAAGGUGUAACCUUCAAUUGUGAGAUUGAAGAAUGCCAUCAGCUGUGUGUAUGCUUCCAGUAAUUAAAAGAGUUCCCCACAAAAAAGCUUCAUGCAUAA